CAACUUCAGUCUUUUAAUUUCCCUUCACCCUACAGCCAUCACCAUGGAAACAAGAACCCCAACCCCGUGGAAAGACAAGCUCCUCCCUCACACACUCACCACCCUGUGACGGCUGACCCCCAGAAAUCAGCUGAGGCCGUCUCUCUGCCUUCCGGCGAGGAGACUGGACAGGAGAGGGUGGCAAAAAGGGGGCGUGUCCCAGAUUACCAGCCACGUGAGGGCGGGACUACGGGAGGGUCUUGGCUGGGAUGAGGACCCCAUGGGGAUUACAUUUGAAGCUUGUGAGCCAUCAGACUGAAAGGUCCACUUUUAAUCAACUUUUCAUUAUUUUUAAGUAUCCUUGUCCGGCAGCCGUGAUGCAGACCCCUGUCCAGGUGUGGGAGAUACCAGUCCAGGUGUGGGACAUACCUGUCCAGGUGUGGGAGAUACCAGUCCAGGUGUGGGACAUACCUGUCCAGGUUUGGGAGAUACCAGUCCAGGUGUUAUAGAUAUCUGCCCAGGUGUGCGAAAUACCUGUCCAGAUGUUGUAGAGAAACCUGUCCAGGUGUUAUGUAUAUAUACAUAUAUAUACACACACGCACUAACCUGUCCAGGUGUGAUUCGGAUACCUGUCCAGAUGUAGAGAUACCUGUCCGGGGCCAUGUUUGAGUUGAUUAACUUGUACCCGAUACAGCACAACAAAUGAUGCUUUACCAUUUUGUAGUGUUCAUUUUAGUGUAAAAAUCAGUUUCCCUAUAUAGUGCACCGAUUAAUACCCAUAAUGCACCUUCAAAUAAAUAUAAUUUCCACACCCUUGACACUGUGAGAUCCAACGCACACGGCUUGUUUAAGCGACAAAUUGACACCAGAGGGGUGGAUUUCGAGCCCAUGAUAACCGUCCUAAUUCCCUAGUGUACUAUAACGUGUAGGGUAUAUAGGGAUUGUAGGUCAAGUGAGCCAAUUCGAAGAGUGCAGAUAUCUGUCCAGGUGUUCUCAGGACACCUGUCCAGGUAUUAUUCAGACCCCUGUCCAGGUGAUAUUCAGACCCCUUUCCAGGUGUUAUUCAGACACCUGUCCAGGUGUAACGCAGACACCUGUCCAGGUGUUAUUCAGACCCCUUUCCAGGUGUUAUUCAGAUACCUGGACUAUUAUUAUUAUUAAUCGUUCAGAGCUUGACAAAAAAAACCUCAAUCAGAACCCGUCAGCUCCAGUUCCACACGACCCUCCUGGAAUAGUCCCUCCACUGUUCUCAGACCAGCUAUACGGCCAGCUAUAGGCAGGGUCUACUUCAACAAAUCAGCUCAAAUCUAGUGGAGCACAUGUCAUGUCCAAAGAAAUCAGUACGUUAAAAUCAUUCCCUGUAAUGUUCAACAUUAUUUUAAUAUAUUCAGACAACUGGAGAAGAAACUGUAGUGUCGUGGAGGGGUGGGGGGGAGGUGCCGAGGCAAGACGCUCUGCUGUUUCCCAUUGGCUCCCAGGGGUGCUAUGUGACGGCACUGGGCACCGGAACCAAUGAGAAAGAGCCAUUACACCAAGCAGUUUACGGUGUGUUUAGUGUAGGUAACUCUAUGAACACUCAGAACUAGAGGGGAAUUGGUGAAGCGAUUCUAAAGUAGCUUGGAUUAUCCACUCAUUUCUACGUGUCAACAGUGCAAGGCAGUACUUCCAUCAGUUUGUGAUCAACUACCCCGUCACUCCCCUACAGCCGGCAGCUGAGGACCCCACCUCCGAGACACUGGGGCCAGAUCUGGUGCUGAAGAACCGGCCCUCUGAGGUGCUGAUCACACAUCCCUUCAGGAUCACAGCAGGCGGUUCUUAUCUUCCCCCUCGAUCAACAAAAUCCAUCUUGGAUUUGAAUCAGCUCACCACGUUACAAUUCUCAUUGCAGACCAAUCUACUGUCAGGAAAUCAAACAUCUCUCUUCUGAGAUUCAUUGUCCAGAGUUCUGGAUACAGGAGGAUACAGAAGGCGCAAGGGGGAGGGGACAUGGGGGGGGGAGGAGGGAGACGAGACAAGGGGAGGAGGAGGGAGAGGUGAAAAGGGGGAGGAGAAGAGAGGAGACAAAAGGUAGAAGGAGAGAGAGGAGACAAGGGAGGGGGAGAGAGAGAAGACAAGGGAGGAGGAGCGAUAGCAGGGAAAGGGAGAGAGCACCAAAGAUAGGAUAGGUGUGUGUUUGGGAGAGAAUGCAUUAUGUAUUAUGAAUGAUUAUCUACUUGUGUAGGAAUUAAGUAGAAAGUCUGAUUAAUUCUAAUGACUUAGUCGUACAGUCAUAAACAUUUCACGAUGUCGGAUCAGGUGCCCUGGAACCCUGAGAAGAUUCAGAUUUCAACCAAUGGGAUCUGGCCCCUCUGGGUGAGGUCGCCCACAG
ensembl:lncRNA